AUUCAAACACGAGGAGCGAUUACGAGGGAGUUUUGUCUAUAUAUUAUGCAAAAUCUACUGUUGGGAAAAGUAGAGUCUCAUCCAAAUAAAAAUAAACAAGCUGUUAAAGGCACUGUGUCCUACACAGACCCUCCAAAAUAUAACCACCCAAAACCCAAGUCAGUUGAAGAUCAACACAAACCAAAUAAAGAUGCGCAUUCUACAAACAAUAACAAAAGAUCAAGUUUUGUGUCAAACACACUUAGAUGAGGCGUGCCCGAUCCCUGACUUUGUCUACCCUACAUUAAGUUGCACACUUCAUGACAGUAAACAUCAGUAUCAAGAUGGUGUGAUUGAUCUAUACCCUGGCCUAGAAUAAGCUGCGACACUAUGAGACGGUCACAUAAUGAACAGGCAUCUUACAGACAACCGAAAGAGGCAUACGUAUUCUCUACAAUCCCAAAUUCUGGAUUGACGCCCCAGUACCAGAGGGCACCCCAAUCCCAGAGAGCACGCCAAUCCCAGAGAGCAUCCAUCUGAAAGCAGGUGAGGUAACACAACGAAAAAAUAACAGGAUGGAGACCACCUGAUUCUUCACCUAUGGCCUCAGCUUCAAAUGCAAGAAGCAAGAAAUGCUAUAUGACUGUGUAUUUUGCAUUAUGAAUGCAUUAUGAAUACAUCAAAGAUGUUGAUAACAAGUUGAUCUGCGUAAAUUGUGACAUAAAGAAUAUGUAUAUAUAUUUCCAGCUAUCUUUCUAUAACAUUAUUUCAAUUGUUUUCACAUGUAGGUCCAGCAACUGUCUGAGUUGGUGGAUAUUCUGUCAGAGACUGCGUGAACAAUGUUAUGAACAGAAUGAUGUCUAAUUGUCUUAUGGCCAAGUUCAAUAUGAGCGGUGGUGGACAUCUGGAAAAGAAGGCUUUUAAAGGCACACCUUUGUAUUAUGUUAUUCAAGAUGCUGUGAAGAGGUGGAGCCCAAAUGCCAGCGACUCGGAAAUAGAUGCAGCUAUGGCAGACCACCUCAAGCUGGGGAAGAGCUGGGGGUUGUGAAUACACUAAAUAAGCCAAACAGCUGUAAUGUGUAAAAGAGAGAGUUGACCCAAAAAUGAAAAUUGUUAUAAUUUUCUGACCCACAUGUUUCAAACCUGUAUACAUUUCUAUUUUCUGCUGAACACAAAGAUUGAAAAAUGUUUGUAACCAAGCUAACUGUCAAUAUAUUUUUUUUACAACUGUAGUAAUGGGUUGUGAGAUCUGCUUUCUAUUCUUUCAAAUAUCUUUGUGUUCAGCAGAACAUAGAAAAGUAUACAGGUUUGAAACAUAAGAGAGAGUAAAUUACUAAAUAAUCAUUUUUGGGUGAACUAUCCUUUUAUAUAGUAAAGUAUUUUGAAAUUGUUAUUAUAGUUAAACAGUUUAAAAAAAAUAAAAAGUGCUAAAUCAGAA